UACGUAGGGUGCAAGCGUUAUCCGGAAUUAUUGGGCGUAAAGAGCUCGUAGGCGGUUUGUCGCGUCUGCUGUGAAAACUGGGGGCUCAACCCCCAGCCUGCAGUGGGUACGGGCAGACUAGAGUGCGGUAGGGGAGAUUGGAAUUCCCGGUGUAGCGGUGAAAUGCGCAGAUAUCGGGAGGAACACCGGUGGCGAAGGCGGUUCUCUGGGCCUUACCUGACACUGAGGAGCGAAAGCGUGGGGAGCGAACAGG
rnacentral:rRNA from 1 species